rnacentral:misc_RNA from 1 species
AGCUUUUCUAUCGAAUGGUUCUUGGGAAAAGUUCUGGCUGCGUUGCAGUGCUGGAAUAUCUUGCAGAAGGCUCACUUGGAUCAUAACGUCUUGAUCGGAAUUGUGUUUGGAAUGGCAUCUCUUCUCUGGCUUCGGUUUAUAUACAAUGACACACUGACAGACUUUUCGUUGGCUCUUACUGUGAGCUACAUUGCUUACUACACUGCUCAAGAGGAAGCUGAAGCUUCUGGUAUCUUGACUCUCGUAGCACUAGG